GAGAGUUUGAUCCUGGCUCAGAACGAACGCUGGCGGCGUGCCUAACACAUGCAAGUUGAACGGAGUCAAGAUGCAGGAUACAGGAUACACGAUGCAGGCAUAAAAACAUCAUGAAUCAUGUAUCUUGCAUCCUGUAUCUUGACUUAGUGGCGGACGGGUGAGUAACACGUAGGCAACCUACCCUUGAGAGUGGGACAACCCCGAGAAAUCGGGGCUAAUACCGCAUAAGACCACGGACUGAGAAGUCAGUGGUAAAAGUUCCGAGCAAUCGGAAUGCUUGAGGAUGGGCCUGCGGCCUAUCAGGUAGUUGGUAGGGUAAUGGCCUACCAAGCCGAAGACGGGUAGCCGGGCUGAGAGGUCGGACGGCCACACUGGAACUGAGACACGGUCCAGACUCCUACGGGAGGCAGCAGUGGGGAAUUUUGCACAAUGGGCGAAAGCCUGAUGCAGCGACGCCGCGU
rnacentral:rRNA from 1 species